CAACUUGAGAGUUUGAUCCUGGCUCAGAACGAACGCUGGCGGCAGGCCUAACACAUGCAAGUCGAGCGGACCCUUCGGGGUUAGCGGCGGACGGGUGAGUAACGCGUGGGAAUGUGCCCUUCUCUACGGAAUAGCCUCGGGAAACUGGGAGUAAUACCGUAUACGCCCCCUGAUCGUGGAGAUUUGGGGGGAAAGAUUUAUCGGAGAGGGAUCAGCCCGCGUUGGAUUAGGUAGUUGGUGGGGUAAUGGCCUACCAAGCCGACGAUCCAUAGCUGGUUUGAGAGGAUGAUCAGCCACACUGGGACUGAGACACGGCCCAGACUCCUACGGGAGGCAGCAGUGGGGAAUCUUAGAC
rnacentral:rRNA from 1 species